rnacentral:rRNA from 1 species
AGAGUUUGAUCCUGGCUCAGAUUGAACGCUGGCGGCAUGCCUUACACAUGCAAGUCGAACGGCAGCACGGGUGCUUGCACCUGGUGGCGAGUGGCGAACGGGUGAGUAAUAUAUCGGAACGUACCCUAGAGUGGGGGAUAACGCAGCGAAAGUUGCGCUAAUACCGCAUACGAUCUACGGAUGAAAGUGGGGGAUCGCAAGACCUCAUGCUCAUGGAGCGGCCGAUAUCUGAUUAGCUAGUUGGUGGGGUAAAAGCCUACCAAGGCAUCGAUCAGUAGCUGGUCUGAGAGGACGACCAGCCACACUGGAACUGAGACACGGUCCAGACUCCUACGGGAGGCAGCAGUGGGGAAUUUUGGACAAUGGGCGCAAGCCUGAUCCAGCAAUGCCGCGUGAGUGAAGAAGGCCUUCGGGUUGUAAAGCUCUUUUGUCAGGGAAGAAACGGUGAGGGCUAAUAUCCUUUGCUAAUGACGGUACCUGAAGAAUAAGCACCGGCUAACUACGUGCCAGCAGCCGCGGUAAUACGUAGGGUGCAAGCGUUAAUCGGAAUUACUGGGCGUAAGGCGUGCGCAGGCGGUUAUGUAAGUCAGAUGUGAAAUCCCCGGGCUCAACCUGGGAAUGGCAUUUGAGACUGCAUAGCUAGAGUGUGUCAGAGGGGGGUAGAAUUCCACGUGUAGCAGUGAAAUGCGUAGAGAUGUGGAGGAAUACCGAUGGCGAAGGCAGCCCCCUGGGAUAACACUGUCGCUCAUGCACGAAAGCGUGGGGAGCAAACAGGAUUAGAUAGCCUGGUAGUCCACGCCCUAAACGAUGUCUACUAGUUGUCGGGACUUAAUUGUCUUGGUAACGCAGCUAACGCGUGAAGUAGACCGCCUGGGGAGUACGGUCGCAAGAUUAAAACUCAAAGGAAUUGACGGGGACCCGCACAAGCGGUGGAUGAUGUGGAUUAAUUCGAUGCAACGCGAAAAACCUUACCUACCCUUGACAUGUACGGAACCUCUGAGAGAUUAGAGGGUGCUCGAAAGAGAGCCGUAACACAGGUGCUGCAUGGCUGUCGUCAGCUCGUGUCGUGAGAUGUUGGGUUAAGUCCCGCAACGAGCGCAACCCUUGUCAUUAGUUGCUACGAAAGGGCACUCUAAUGAGACUGCCGGUGACAAACCGGAGGAAGGUGGGGAUGACGUCAAGUCCUCAUGGCCCUUAUGGGUAGGGCUUCACACGUCAUACAAUGGUACAUACAGAGGGCCGCCAACCCGCGAGGGGGAGCUAAUCCCAGAAAGUGUAUCGUAGUCCGGAUUGUAGUCUGCAACUCGACUACACGAAGUUGGAAUCGCUAGUAAUCGCGGAUCAGCAUGUCGCGGUGAAUACGUUCCCGGGUCUUGUACACACCGCCCGUCACACCAUGGGAGCGGGUUUCACCAGAAGUAGGUAGCCUAACCGCAAGGAGGGCGCUUACCACGGUGGGAUUCGUGACUGGGGUGAAGUCGUAACAAGGUA